rnacentral:rRNA from 1 species
CGUGUAGGUGGAUAAUUAAGUCGUGUGUCUAAGUGCGGGGCUCAACCCCGUAUAGGCGCAGGAAACUGGUUAUCUUGAGUGCAGGAGAGGAAAGUGGAAUUCCCAGUGUAGCGGUGAAAUGCGUAGAUAUUGGGAGGAACACCAGUGGCGAAGGCGACUUUCUGGACUGUGUCUGACACUGAGGCGCGAAAGCUAGGGGAGCGAACG